rnacentral:lncRNA from 9 species
AUUUGUUUUUUAGGGCUGCACCUGUGGCACAUGGAGGUUCCCAGGUUAGCGGUCUGAUGGGAACUUCAGCCGCUGGCCUAUGCCACAGCCACAGCAACACGGGAUCUGAGCCACAUCUGCGACCUACACCACAGCUCACGGCAACACCAGAUCCUUAACCUACUGAGCGAGGCCAGGGAUUGAACCCGCAACCUUAUGGUUCCUCAUCGGAUUCGUUAACCACUGAGCCAUGACGGGAACUUCUCUUGCUGUGUUUUUAAAAAGCCUAAAUUUGGUACCAAAAGCAUGGGAAGGGACUUAGGGCUCUUGGGGCUUGUUCUUGGAUCUCUAGGCAGGUUGGUGAGGUCAGGCCCUUUUUCUCUCUCUUGCUCACAGCUGAAUCUCAGCCUCCGGGACACUGCCUGGCACAGAGCAGGGCCUCAGUAGAUAGCGGCUGGAUGUAGGCAUGGAUGCCCAUAAGACAUCAGUUCACAGUUGUGCCAGGCUCUAAUCUGGGUGCAGGGCACACAUGGGACUCUGCGAUCCCCAGUGAGUGAGUGCCUUUGACUUUAGCAAAGGGCUUUUAUGCCCAGAUCUCAUGUCUCAGCACCCUGUGAAGCAGAAGUGCAAGAGCCUUUUACAGAUGAGCUAAACAAGACACACAGAAACGAAGGGCUCAUCUAAGAAACAGAACUUGGGUCACUUGUUGGGCUCACGCACCAAUGUUAUGGCUACAGGCUCUUCCCAUUGCUUCUACCUGUCCUGUUAUACAGUCUCAAUCUUUCACUGGUCUGGAGUUCAUCGUCCAUCCACCCACCCAACCAGGCCAACCUUCACUUGGUACCACCAUGUGCCAGGUUCUGUGCUCCAGGGGGAGAGGGGAAUGUGGACAGAAGAAUGUAAAAAUGGAGUAAGACCAGGAUUUGGCAACUGCUCUAUUAAAAAAUGAAGGAAAUGGACAUCUCCUCUGUGGCCACUGUGGAAAAGAAUUAACAUAGAAUUACCAUGGGACACAGCAGUUCCUCUUCCGGGUAUACACCCGAGAGAAUUAAGUACAGGAACUCAGGAGCUCCCACUGUGGCUCAGUGAUAAUGAACCUGACUCGUAUCCAUGAGGAAGCAGGUUUGACCCCUGGUCUUGCUCAGUGGGUUAAGGAGCUAUUGUCAGGAGCUGUGGUAUAGGGAUCCCACAGUGCUAUGGUUGUGGUGUAGACCAGCAGCUAUAGCUCCAAUUCAAUCCCUAGGCUGAGAACUUCUACAUGCUAUAGGUGUAGCCAAAAAACAAACCAACAAAUAAGCCCCCAAACCCAGGAACUCAAACCGAAAGGCAUGUGCCAAUGUUCAGAGCAGCAUUACUCCCAUUAGCCAAAAGGCGGAAACAACCCAAGUGCCCAUCAACAGAUGAACAGGUAAAUAAUACGGAAUAUAUCUGUGCAAUGGAGUACUCUUCCGCUGUACAAAGAAAGGAAGUUCUGAUAUAUGAUGCAACAUGGAUGAAUCUUGUAAACUUAUGCUGAGUGAAAUUAGCUAGACACAAAGGAAAAUUAUCGUGUGAUUCUACUCACAUGAAAUCUAGACUAUGUCAAUUCACAGACACACAAAGUAGGGUAAAUGCUACAGGGGACAGGGUGAGAGGGGAAAAGGGAGCUAUUGUGUAAUGGGCGCAGAGUUUCUGUUCUAUUUGGACUGAUGAAAAAUUUCAGAAAUAGUGACGCCUGCUGUACAACAUUAUGAAUGUGCUUAAUGCCACUGAACUGUAUGCUUAAAACUGGUUAAAAUGGGGAUAUAGUUAAUUUACAAUGUUGUGUUAGCUUCAGGUGUAGAGCAAAGUGAUUCAGAUUCUUUUCCAUUAUAGGCUAUUAUGAGAUACUGAAUACAGUUCCCUGUGCCAUAAGUAGGUCCUUGCUGUUUAUUUUAUACAUAGUAGUGUGUAUAUAUUAAUCCUAAACUCCGAAUUUGUCUUCCCUCUGCCCCCAUCCCCUCUGGUAACCAUAAAUUUGUUUUCUAUGUCUGAGAAUCUACUUCUGUUUUUGUAAAUAAGUUCACUUUAUAUCCUUUUCUAGAUGACACGUAUAAGUGAUAUCAUAGGAUACUUGUCUUUGUCUGACUUACUUCACUUAGUAUGAUAUCUCCAGGUCCAUCCAUGUUGAAGCUUCCUCUUAUUCUAACUCAAAAACCAUUGUUAGCUCCAAGAAGACUGCUUCUCUGACAAGCAGCCCUGCAUCCCCAGGCUCAGGGCUCCUGUUUUCCUGGAAACUGAGGCUGUGUUCUUUGCUUGCCCACAGCUAUUGAAAGCUUCCAGGCAUCCUCUGCCCAUAAUGGCUCAUAACCCUUUCUGGACCAAACCAGAAGACAGAUUCGAUUUUCUACAAUGCCUACCCCUGUGUCUACAUCCCUUCUUCCCUCCUACUUCAAUCUGGAGAGGUGUCUUCCUUCCAGUUGAGGCCAGCCUCUCCAAAGGGUUCCUGUCCCGAGCUCUCCUGUCUCUCAAAGCCAUCACCCCCUUGGGACACAGAGCGCCAUCCACUCACCAAUGGGCAGGACUACAAACUCCCAACACCUCCUCUUGGUCACCUAUGGUCUAUCUCUGUAUGCAGCCAGAAUAAUCUUUUUUUUUUUUUUUUUAAGUUGAAGUAUAAUUCAGAUACCACAGAAUUUAUUUUUACAUUCCCAUCAGCAACGUACAAGAAUUCCAACAUUCUUGAUGGCAAUGCUAGGUCAAGAGGAUGAUGGCUUUAAAACAUCUGUAUUUCCUUCUACAAGUUUUAUAGGUUUAGCUCUGACAUUUAGGUCUUUGAUCCCUUUGGCAUUCAUUCUGGUGUGUGAGGUGUAUCGAUAUCCAGUGGUCCCAGCACCUUUUGUUGAAAAGACUAUUCUUUCCCAAUUGAAUGGUCUUAGUACCUUUGUGGAAAAUGAAAUGACCAUGGACAUAUGGGUUUCCUUCUGGACACAGUUCUUUCUACUGCUCUAUAUUUCUGUUCCUUUGCCAGUACUACAUUAUCGUGAUUAUUGUAGCUUUGUAGUAAGUUUUGAAAUUCCAACUUUUUCAAGAUUGCUUUGGCUAUUUGGGGUCCUUUGAGUUUUCACAUGAAUUUCUGUAUCAGCUUGUCUAUUUCUGCAAAAAAAAAACAGGCAGUUGAUAUUUUGAUAAGGAUUGAAUUGAAUCCGUAGAUCAAUUAAGGAAGUAUUGCCAGGUUAACAAUAGCAGGUCUUUCAGCCCAUGAACAUGGG